rnacentral:rRNA from 1 species
UACGAAGGGGGCUAGCGUUGCUCGGAAUUACUGGGCGUAAAGCGCACGUAGGCGGUCUUUUUAAGUCGGGGGUGAAAUCCUGGAGCUCAACUCCAGAACUGCCUCGAUACUGGAAGACUUGAGUCCGGGAGAGGUGAGUGGAACUGGCGAAGUGUAGAGGUGAAAUUCGUAGAUAUUCGCAAGAACACCGGGUGGCGAAGGCGGUGGUCUGGGCCUGAACUGAC